rnacentral:rRNA from 1 species
GACGAACGCUGGCGGCGUGCCUAAUACAUGCAAGUUGAGCGCUGUAGGUUGGUACUUGUACCCACUGGAUGAGCAGCGAACGGGUGAGUAACGCGUGGGGAAUCUGCCUUUGAGCGGGGGACAACAUUUGGAAACGAAUGCUAAUACCGCAUAAAAACUUUAAACACAAGUUUUAAGUUUGAAAGAUGCAAUUGCAUCACUCAAAGAUGAUCCCGCGUUGUAUUAGCUAGUUGGUGAGGUAAAGGCUCACCAAGGCGAUGAUACAUAGCCGACCUGAGAGGGUGAUCGGCCACAUUGGGACUGAGACACGGCCCAAACUCCUACGGGAGGCAGCAGUAGGGAAUCUUCGGCAAUGGACGAAAGUCUGACCGAGCAACGCCGCGUGAGUGAAGAAGGUUUUCGGAUCGUAAAACUCUGUUGGUAGAGAAGAACGUUGGUGAGAGUGGAAAGCUCAUCAAGUGACGGUAACUACCCAGAAAGGGACGGCUAACUACGUG